AUGAGACUGGGUGCAGAGCCAACCAUUGAAGCCAAAUCAUAGGACAGGUCCCCAUUUCUUUCUACCUGGUCGUGGACAAAGCUUAAGAUUCAUCUGGAACAAAAGUGGGCCUGAAGCACCCUCUGUCACUAGCACCCCCAUCCUUAAGCCACAGGAUGGCUUCUUCAUCCACCUCGCAGAACAGCUUCAGGGCUUCCUGGUGUCUCGGACAGAUGCCCUGUUCAUUCACUCGACUUCCUCGGCCAGGGGUGGGAUGCAUCUGACGGAUCACCUGGACCAUGUUGGCCAACUGCAGGUUGGGGCGGAAGCUCCGCCGAGGAAAACUUUUUCGACACUGGGGACAGGUGAAGCACCUCCGAGGGGCGGGAGGUGGCGGUGGAAUUUGGGUGAUUGGGUCCAGCUCCUCUUCCUCAUCUUCCUCCAGCACUUCCUCCUCUUCAUCCUCAUCUUCCCCCCUCAGUUCCUCCACGUCCUCCAGGUAAUAGUCCAGAUCUUCCUCCUCCUCCUCCUCCUCCCACACAUAGUCCAUGUUGUCCCAGUUGGACCCGCCUAAACCGCUGCUCCAGAACACACCUUCCUCUUCCUCCUCGGCCUCUUCCUCCAUGUCACCUUCAUAAUCUUCAUCUCGCAUGGGGGUGUCCCAACCCCCGCCCGCCCCGACAGCCUCCACUUCUUCCUCCUCUCCGACGUCCUCCUCCUCCUCCUCCCGAUCCAACUCAUCUCUGUCCUCCUCAUCCUCCCCACCCCACAACUGGGUUACACACACUCGGCAGAAGUUGUGCCCGCAGCCGAUGGACACGGGGUCCGUGAAGUAAUCGAGGCAGAUGGCGCACACCGCCUCCUCCUGAAGGGUCUGCACAGGGUUGGGUGUCAUGGCAACGGCAGCCAUCUUAGUGUCCAGUCAGCCAGUGUAGAAGUGCAGGAGGGGGUUCGGGGGGGUGGGGCGGGGGGGUCUUCCUUCUCUGAAGCCCAGAAGACCCGUCCCCACCCCAGGCUCUGCCUCUCCACACCUUGCCUGCGGCGAGGCCAAAGGAAAUGUCCUCCGACCAGCCCACCUCUCCACACACAGCCCCCUACCCCAAGACGGCAGUCGUGUCUCGGAGAGGGGAGGGGACAGAGGUGAGCACCACCGACAAGUACCUCAGGUGGCCCUGAGUGCAAAUCUGCCCCAGUGCUCCCCCGGCCUCCUAAGCCCCCGCCCCUCCGCACUUCCUGGCCCCGCCCCCCAGCUUCCGGCCUCCCUCCCAACGCUUCCGGCGUCUACCCACGACCUAACCUCACGAGUUCCCUCCGAGGUUGUGCUACGCCCCUUCUGCCACACCCCGCCCCGGGCUCCAGGGCAACAGGAAACGAGGAGGAGACGCUCUAGGCGACACGCGGGAACGGGACGGGAGGGCUAGGACGGCGGAGGCCCACAUCUCGGUGAUGACUGGCCGCGGGGAACGCGUACAGAGCGGAAGAAGCCCCCAUGCCCCGCCAGCGGGGACAGAUGGCGGAGGGUGGCGUGGACGUGGGGCAGCCCCUUGCUCUCCGUGCUACAGCCGCAGCGGCCCGACGCCAUCCUACCGACCAGGCACGGACGACUGCAGAAGGGACUCCCGAGACCGGUGCCGGAAGCUGAGGGGCGGGCCCGCUCGGCGUCCUCCAACACUUCCGGCCUCUCUAGACCCAGAACUUGUUUGUUUGGGUCUCGCAGUCGGGGGUGGGGGUGAGUCCCUCCAGGAGGGCUCUGGGGCGGGACCUGAGGAGGUAGGGUGAGACUGGGGUUAGAGACGCGUCACCCUCCACGCGCCGUUUAGAAACCGCGGCCGUGCCGGCGAGCUUCUGCAUUCCCGUUAGGCUAGCAGCACUUGGGAGGCUGAGACAGGAGAAUUGUGGCAAGUUCCAGGUUUGUCUGACCUGGGUUACACGGUGAGACCCCGUCCCAGAGAACAACCACCAGCAGCCAAAGCAAGGAAACACUGAAAUUGUCAACCGGUCUCAUCAUUGAUUACUAAUACCCAGGUCCACAUUAAAUGAAACACCUCAGCUAUGCGAAAAAGAAUCUCCGGAAUGCGUUAAAUUUAAAAAGUGCGGAUGGCUGAACAGUGGAGGGCAAUGUUAGGUGUAUUUCGUACUAGCUGUUGCCUCACAGGCAACAUGAAGGUGUCCUGUAAAGCGGUCAGAACGUUUUCUAGCAUCCCGUAAGAGUUAAGGGUUAGCUACUCCACCGUAAUCUCCUCUGUGGAAGGCAGUAGAGUUUCUCUAGGAAGGCUGACCAGGGAGUAAAGACACUUAAACAUGUAGUUCCUUCCGUAUCCUUUGAUUUUUGAAACAAGUCCACGUGUUCUCUUUAAAAAUAUUCCCCAACUGCUGUGGAUGCAUUGAAAUUUUAGUACUUUAUAUGGACCGUGCACACCUCUUAACAUUUGUAUCCAAAAUGCUUUUGAGAUUUGUGUUCCUGGAAUUUCACUCCAAGCAGAAGGAGAGGCUCGAAUUGGAUUGUUUGUUUGUGAGAGAAUCCUGUCCCGGCUCUAUUAAUAAAGAUGUCCCUGUGGCACCCAGAGGA